rnacentral:rRNA from 1 species
GACGAACGCUGGCGGCGUGCCUAAUACAUGCAAGUAGGACGCAGUUGCGAACGGGUGAGUAACGCGUAGGUCACUACCCAUUAGAGGGGGAUAACUAUUGGAAACGAUAGCUAAUACCGCAUACUAGUAGAUGGACCUGCGUUGUAUUAGCUAGUAGGUAGGGUAAUGGCCGACCUAGGCAACGAUACAUAGCCGACCUGAGAGGUUGAGCGGCGUCACGUGGACUGAGACACGGCCCAGACUCCUACGGUAGGCAGCAGGAGGGAAUCUGCGGCAAUGGGGGGAACCCUGACCGAGCAACGCCGCGUGAGUGAAGAAGGUUUUCGGAUCGUAAAGCUCUGUUGUUAAGGAAGCGGUACUUAACCAGAAAGGGACGGCUAACUACGUGCCAGCAGGCGCGGUAAUUC